AUUGAACGCUGGCGGCAGGCCUAACACAUGCAAGUCGAACGGUAGCACAGAGGAGCUUGCUCCUUGGGUGACGAGUGGCGGACGGGUGAGUAAUGUCUGGGAAACUGCCCGAUGGAGGGGGAUAACUACUGGAAACGGUAGCUAAUACCGCAUAACGUCGCAAGACCAAAGAGGGGGACCUUCGGGCCUCUUGCCAUCGGAUGUGCCCAGAUGGGAUUAGCUAGUAGGUGAGGUAACGGCUCACCUAGGCGACGAUCCCUAGCUGGUCUGAGAGGAUGACCAGCCACACUGGAACUGAGACACGGUCCAGACUCCUACGGGAGGCAGCAGUGGGGAAUAUUGCACAAUGGGCGCAAGCCUGAUGCAGCCAUGCCGCGUGUAUGAAGAAGGCCUUCGGGUUGUAAAGUACUUUCAGCGAGGAGGAAGGGGAUGUGGUUAAUAACCGCAUUCAUUGACGUUACUCGCAGAAGAAGCACCGGCUAACUCCGUGCCAGCAGCCACGGUAAUACGGAGGGUGCAAGCGUUAAUCGGAAUUACUGGGCGUAAAGCGCACGCAGGCGGUCUGUCAAGUCGGAUGUGAAAUCCCCGGGCUCAACCUGGGAACUGCAUCCGAAACUGGCAGGCUAGAGUCUUGUAGAGGGGGGUAGAAUUCCAGGUGUAGCGGUGAAAUGCGUAGAGAUCUGGAGGAAUACCGGUGGCGAAGGCGGCCCCCUGGACAAAGACUGACGCUCAGGUGCGAAAGCGUGGGGAGCAAACAGG
rnacentral:rRNA from 1 species